UUUUAUUUUUACUUCGGUUUUCUUUCUGGAUUUACUGUUUGACGUAUGAAUAUAUUAAAGGUUACGAAAUAGAUGAACACCAGACAGUGCUAGAUCUGGGGAAUACGGUGGGUGACCAAUAAGUUGGAAGCAACAGCCAUGCAAUGCAGUUAUACAACGUGUAUGUAGAUGCAUUGCCCUGAUGGAACUUCACACUUUUCGUGAAACCUACUACAUGGGCAGCACAUUCACCAGGAUGUUCUGAUUUCAUUCUUUACUAUUGCCUACUUCACUCGAAUAUCCAGUAUCAGCUGGGUGGAGCCAUAAUUCAUCAAUCUAUAUGAAAUCGUUGUCCUGUGAGAGUCUUUGAUGAUCAAUGAUAUGCUUGCUGCGAAAAACUGGAUUCACUUGAGGACGCCUUGAUGACAUGACUUAUUAGCAACACUCUCGUGGCUGCUGCUGACCGUGAGAAGUUUGUGGAAUACAGCACCAGUAAACAUUCUGUAUCUCGCAAAGAGUUUUAAAUUAGAUCUGUAAAUAUCUCUUAUAAUGUUUUGAGCCAUGUUUUUUAAUUAGUUCUGUAAAUAUCUCUUGUUUUGAGCCAUGUUUUUUAAUUAGUUCUGUAAAUAUCUCUUAUAAUGUUUUUAGUCAUGUUUUUUUUUUAAUUAGUUCUGUAAAUAUCUCUUAUAAUGUUUUUAGUCAUGUUUUUUUUAAUUAGUUCUGUAAAUAUCUCUUAUAAUGUUUUGGGCCAUGUUUUUAAUUAGUUCUGUAAAUAUCUCUUAUAAUGUUUUGGGCCAUGUUUUUUUUAAUUAGUUCUGUAAAUAUCUCUUAUAAUGUUUCGAGCCAUGUUUUUAACUUAGUUCUGUAAAUAUCUCUUAUAAUAUUUUCAGCCAUGUUUUUUUAAUUAGUUCUGUAAAUAUCUCUUAUAAUGUUUUGGGCCAUGUUUUUAAUUAGUUCUGUAAAUAUCUCUUAUAAGGAUUUGAGCCAUGUUUUUAAAUUAGUUCUGUAAAUAUCUCUUAUAAUGUUUUGAGCCAUGUUUUAAAUUAGUUCUGUAAAUAUCUCUUAUAAUCUUUUGAGCCAUGUUUUUAAAUUAGUUCCAUAAAUAUCUCUUAUAAUCUUUUGAGCCAUGUUUUUCGUUUGGAAUUAAAUUUUUGGUGCAAUACUGAUUUGUGUGUACCUAAGCUCUGGACACUUACUGUUUCCACUGUUUGACCGUAACAUUUUUUUUUUUUUUUUUUUUUAAUGAAUUCUUUUUGAGAGGAGGAUAUAUUACGUUGAUACUCGUCAGUGCGUUUUUCACACCUGUUUAAACUCGGUUUUAGUGAUAAUUUAAGAAGUUUGUGAUGAAGCUGAUUGACUCGAAAGUAGUUUUCUUUUUUCUUCUUCUUCUUCUUUUUUCUGUUGGAUUUUUCUUUUUCUUUUCUCUUGCUUCUUCAUGGUGGUGUUGUUGUUGUUUUGUUAUGUUAUGUUUUGUGUUUGUUUUGCUUUUUUGUUUUGUGCUGGGGAGUCGUUAAAUACCAAUUGACUACUAUUCAAUAUUACACCAUAAAGCUACGUGUGAAACUUCUGCAAUUAACGGUUUAUUUUUUCUCUUUUAUUUUUUUCUCUCUGUUUUUAAUUAAUCUGGGGUUGUUGUUUUUUCAGCACUUUGGGGAAAUAAUUUGUAAAACUAGCGCCAGACAUCAGUUCCUUCUUUCCGUUUAAGCACGCUGAAGACAGAAAGCCAAUACAAUUGGAUCUGAUCGGCGGCUAUUAUUUCCACAUUAAUUAGUAAUAUUGAUUACACAUUAUUAUUGUAUUGUCAUCCGAAAAUUUUUGUAAUAUGUAUGUUAUUAAUCGUUUAUUUUUAUCGAUGAUAUGUCAUUUUGGGUUUCAGUUUACAAUGCAAUUUAUCAACCGGCAGUUUUAUGGUGUAUGUGUCCCUGUGUGUGUGUGUGUGUGUGUGUGUGUGUGCGCGCGCGUGUGUGUGUGUGUGUGUGUGUGUGUGUGUGUGUGUGUGUGUGUGUGUGUGUGUGAUUGCCUUACUCAUCCCUAAAAUGUAUUAAAAGUAUGAAGACUGAGAUAAACAUCAUUUAGAUAAUUAAAUAUUAAUUACAAACUCACACAGAAAUGUUUUUAGCACACCUGCACCUGAAAUUAUGAACAAAUGCUUGAUUUAAUAGGGUGACAAACCUGAAAUUACCAUGUUACAAAUCAGGGCCAUGAGACUGAAUCUACUGAGUAAAAAUAACCCAAAACUGAUUCCAUUCAGCAUUUUACAGCAGUCAGUCAGUCAAUUGAUAAAGACUUCAAGAUUGAAUACAUGUUUUGUCAGUCUGAAAUUACACUUAUGGUUUAUUUUGCAUGAUAAUCCUUCUCUGUUUUGUAGAUAACACGUCAACACCGCAACUCCGGUCAGCAAACACAACUUAUUGUGUAUAAAACAAGUUUUAAAUCAUGCUACAUGAUUCCUUCCAUAUAGAAAAAACAACAAUCUUUCCAACAGACUAUGUCAUCAUUUUCAGUUAACAAAGGAAGGGUCACUGCGUAUGUUUAUUCUCUGUCAACACCGUAACGGCCAUAAUUAAUAUAUUGAUCUAUUAAAUGGAUUUUAUUCACUCAGAGAUCAUCAUAAAUGAAUGAUUUGAAGAUACCUUGGCAAUUUAUCAUAGCUAAUAAAAAAUAAUAUGAUGACAAUAUGUUUUUGUUACAUUUUGUCGUUACAAUUUUGAUCAAGUGUCUAAAUAAUCAUAUGUUCUACAUGGAAUAGCUUUAAAUUGUACUGAGGUGUCGCUGAACAAAAUUUAUAUUCAUUUGUAUUCCUAUUGUCUUGGCUAUUUAAUUGUAUAAUUGUAUCCAACAUUUAUUUUUGUGGCAGCUGGAUGCUUACUCAGUAAAUGUUUAUCACAUGUAAAACAUUUCAGGGGGUAUUGAAAGAGAAAACAAGGUAUGUUAGUACCGUAAUAUGCUGCCAUUGUGAAGUUGGUAAAAUAUCUAGAUAACCAUAUGUUAGAUACCAAGUAGCUUUAAAUAAAUAUGAAAUAACUUUAAAAUGUGCAGAGGUGUCGUUAAACAAACAAUCAUUUCGUAUCCUAUUGUCUUUUCCGCUUUAAUUGGAUGACCAUGUAAUUAUAUCCACUGUCUGGUUAUUGUAAGAACUGGAACCUUUUUUGUGCUCCCUGAAAAUACAGCUUAAAUAUUGCCGUGCUAUUUCACUGUUUGGUAUUCAUUCAGAAAGAUGAGUCAGUACAUGUUUAUCAUCUAUCAUCGUAAGUAUAAAUGAUGUGAAAACCGUAACUGUUUGUCAACACCGCCACACCUCUUUUUAUAAAUAAUUACUAUCCUAGUGAACCGCGUUAUUAAAGGGACAUUCCUGAAUUUGCUGCAAUUUUUUAAGAUG